rnacentral:misc_RNA from 1 species
UCACAUGCAGCAACUUGCAAAGUAGGGUGAAGAAUAGCCUCUUUGAAAAUUCAUCUUCCAUUGCUAUACAUGGGGUAUUUACAAGUUACAGAGGAUGAUAAAAGAAGCCUCAAACACUCUCAACCUCUGACAAGCUUUUGCUCAUCGGGCCGGUGUGUUCCAAUUACAUGAAAUUAGUAAAAAUUUACACUUUCAAAAAAAGCUAAAUCUCUUACACAUUUGUAUCACAAAAUUUGCCCUCCAUCUGGUUUUGAACAGCUUUGACAGCUGCAACUCUAGCAGCAGUGGCUGCUCUAUUUGCAGCCUGAACUGCCUUGUUCACUUGUUCAUCCACCGGACGAAGGUGAAUGGCACCUUCGGCUGUUUUUCNNNNNNNNACGGCUCUAAGGACAGAAUCAGUUAGUAGAGGCACAGGGCUCUUAAGGACACCACCAUCCC